CUCUGUCCGAUGCCUUGAGAUUUGGGGAAGGGUUUACAACUGCGGAGGCGAGAUGUCAGGUCCUCUGUGCUCUUCCUGAGUGCCCUGGCCUUACCCAUUCCCCCAGCCCCCUCUGGGCAGCCAAGCCCAGGAGCUGGGCCACCGGCGAUUGUGCUGAUCAAUAAUCCACCUCACCCAAAGUCCGGGGGUAAGAGCGGCCAGCACAACUGGUUGUAGACUCUGAAGUCAGGUCCUUGGAGGAAUUCCUCACUGAACAAUGUUUUGGACCUUUUAUUUUUCUCUAUAGCCUCCAGCUGAAGAAACAGAUUGCCUUAGGUACAUGAAAGGUGAGGACACCUACUAUCCCCAUGGAGCCCAGGUGGGGCUGGGAGUCUGCUGUUUGUACAGCCGGUGGGCUCGUGUUGCUUUGGGCAUCCCUGUGCCUGAAUUCCUGCAGUACACUCGGUGCCUGUUUCCUAAUCUGCAAAACUGGAAUGAUGUUAACCAUCCCGCAGUGCAUUCCAUGGUGCAUCCUCGCCUAGAAUUGAGUGGAAG